GAGAGUCAUAGUUACUCCCGCCGUUUACCCGCGCUUGGUUGAAUUUCUUCACUUUGACAUUCAGAGCACUGGGCAGAAAUCACAAUGCGUCAACACCGUUUCCGGCCAUCGCAAUGCUUUGUUUUAAUUAAACAGUCGGAUUCCCCUUGUCCGUACCAGUUCUAAGUUGAUUGUUAAUUGCCUGCCGAACUGCUCUUGUGAGCAUAGCUGGGCCAAUCCACGACCAGUCCCUUCCCAGUCCAAGUCCAUCCCCGAGAGGACGAAAUAGUCCGGGUCGGAUCCACUCGCUUCAAGUCUCAGCCCGACAGACCCAAUCCUUUUCCCGAAGUUACGGAUCUAUGUUGCCGACUUCCCUUACCUACAUUGUUCUAUCGACCAGAGGCUGUUCACCUUGGAGACUUGCUGCGGUUAUGAGUACGAACAGACGCGAAAAUCAAUCUUUCCCUCGGAUUUUCAAGGGCCUUCAGAAGCGCACCGGACACCACAAGAAGUGUGGUGCUUUACCGGCUGUUGAACCAUAUCUCCUGGCAAUCAGAUUCCAUGGUGUCAAGCCGUUAACAAGAAAAGAGAACUCUUCCCAGGGCUCCUGCCGACGUCUCCGAGUUCAGUUGCGUUACCGCACGUCCCCCCCCCCCCCCGAAGGAAUGGAAUAUCCACGUCCUGGUUCGGGAAUAUUAACCCGAUUCCCUUUCGAUAAACGGUCCGAGAUCGGACACUUUGAAACGGAGUUUCCCUAUCUCUUAGGAUCGACUAACCCAUGUCCAACUGCUGUUCACAUGGAACCUUUCUCCACUUCGGUCUUCAAAGUUCUCAUUUGAAUAUUUGCUACUACCACCAAGAUCUUCACUAGAGGCCGUUUCACCCAGGCUCACGCCAAAGGCUGCGUCACGACCCCCACGCCCUCCUACUCGUCAAAGCUUAGCUACUUACUUUGACGGCUAAUAUAGGCACGACGCUUAAGCGCCAUCCAUUUUCAGGGCUAGUUGAUUCGGCAGGUGUGUUGUUACACACUCCUUAGCGGAUUCCGACUUCCAUGGCCACCGUCCUGCUGUCUAGAUCAACCAACACCUUUUGUGGGGUCUGAUGAGCGUCGAUUUAGGCGCCUUAACUCAGCGUUCGGUUCAUCCCGCAUCGCCAGUUCUGCUUACCAAAAAUGGCCCACUAAGAACUCUCAUUCUGUGCCCUACUUCAAUUAAGCAAGUCGGGCUUCUUACCAAUUUAAAGUUUGAGAAUAGGUUAAGGUUGUUUCAACCCUAAGACCUCUAAUCAUUCGCUUUACCUGAUAAAACUGUUCCGAGUUCCAGCUAUCCUAAGGGAAACUUCGGAGGGAACCAGCUACUAGAUGGUUCGAUUAGUCUUUCGCCCCUAUACUCAAGUUUGACGAUCGAUUUGCACGUCAAAAUCGCUACGAGCCUCCACCAGAGUUUCCUCUGGCUUCGCCCUACUCAAGCAUAGUUCACCAUCUUUCGGGUCCCAACAGAUGUGCUCUUACUCAAACCUUUCUAGGAGUAGAAUAGGUCGGUCAAUGAUGCGCUCCUCGCCGAAACGAAGAGAUCUCACCUCAGCUGCAAGCAGCCUUUACUUUCAUUGUGCCCGCGGGUUUCAAUCACCCAAAGACUCGCACACAUGUUAGACUCCUUGGUCCGUGUUUCAAGACGGGUCGCAUGAAACCAUAUGACCGCCAACAACCUUAGCACAAUGUGUGCAUUCAUCCCCCCGACAGCCGGCCACAGUUCAAACGCACUGCACGCAGUCCGCUAUGGUUGACAACCGACUGGGAAGAGAGAAGCCAGCCCAAAAGAGCAUGUGCCGCGACGCCUCUGUCGGACCCGAGCUCGCACACCACAAGCUAUAAUACUGACCGAAGCCAGCUACCUUCUUGCGGGGCUCUUCGCUCGGUUCCAACAGCUGUUGACGCACGCUGCCGGGAAAUGCGACAAACAACUGCUAGUGACGAACACCAACGGUCCAUUCGGAUCCGUAAAACGCCCGUACCUGCUGCCGAUCAUCUGAAUCUCGACAGCGCAUUGCUAAUUCCAUGCGCUUCCCUCCUAACGGUUUCACGUACUAUUAACUUUCUUUUCAAAGUGCUUUUCAUCUUUCCCUCACGGUACUUGUUCCCUAUCGGUCUCGUGCCAAUAUUUAGCUUUAGAAGGAGUUUACCUCCCAUUUUGGGCUGCAUUCCCAAGCAACCCGACUCAUAGAAAGCGCAUCGUGAACAGUACACAGUGCCACGCACGGGAUUGUCACCCUCUACGAUGUGCCGUUCCAAGCAACUUGAGCACUGUGUAUCCGCCUUGAAAACGCUUCUGGAGACUACAAUUCGCCGUCAA